UACAGAGGUCCCAAGCGUUGUUCGGAUUCACUGGGCGUAAAGGGUGCGUAGGCGGUCGGGUAAGUCUGAUGUGAAAUCUCACAGCUUAACUGUGAAACUGCAUUGGAUACUAUUCGGCUUGAGAGUUGGAGGGGGGACUGGAAUUCUUGGUGGAGCGGUGAAAUGCGUUGAUAUCAUCAGGAACUCCGGUGGCGAAGGCGGCUCGCUGGACCUUUUCUGACGCUGAGGCGCGAAAGCUAGGGGAGCAAACGGG
rnacentral:rRNA from 1 species